GUCCAAAGUCUUUACUUAUUUUCUACUUUAAAGCAUGCUUAAACUUUGCAGGAGCAGGAUGUGGAGGGUUUGAAACGUAAAUUAUCCGAAUCGGAAGCCAAUGAAACGAUAAUCAGGCUACUGUUGAUGAAGAGAUUUUCGAUGCCCAGUCUUUAAGGUUAUCCAUUAAUGAGUUACUAAGAACUAUUGGCCUAAAAUGUGGACAAAUCAUUGCAAUUAGAAAAGCAUUUCCUAGUUCUUUGGAUACAAGCACUAAAGAAUCUAAAGAAAGCUGCUCCAUGGCCUUAAUCAACUAUUCCUAUGACCCCCAAUGCAAUCAUUUUUGCAGAAAAGCAGGAAUCUGCCAAAACAAGUCAUAGCAAUGCAUCACUGUCCAGUGC